rnacentral:rRNA from 1 species
UACGUAGGUGACAAGCGUUUGUCCGGAUUUACUGGGCGUAAAGAGCGCGCAGGCGGUCGAUCAAGUCGAGUGUGAAAGCCCCCGGCUCAACUGGGGAGGGUCAUUCGAUACUGAUCGACUCGAAGGCAGGAGAGGGUAGUGGAAUUCCCGGUGUAGUGGUGAAAUGCGUAGAUAUCGGGAGGAACACCAGUGGCGAAGGCGACUACCUGGCCUGUUCUUGACGCUGAGGCGCGAAAGCUAGGGGAGCAA